rnacentral:misc_RNA from 1 species
GAUGAAGAACGUAGCGAAAUGCGAUAAGUAAUGUGAAUUGCAGAAUUCAGUGAAUCAUCGAAUCUUUGAACGCACAUUGCGCCCGCCAGUAUUCUGGCGGGCAUGCCUGUUCGAGCGUCAUUUCAACCAUCAAGCCCCCGGCUUGUGUUGGGGACCUGCGGCUGCCGCAGGCCCUGAAAACCAGUGGCGGGCUCGCUAGUCACUCCGAGCGUAGUAGUUACAUCUCGCUCAGGGCGUGCUGCGGGUUCCGGCCGUUAAAAGCCUUAUUUACCCAAGGUUGACCCCGGAUCAGGUAGGAAGACCCGCUGAACUUAAGCAUAUCAAUAAGCGGAGGA